CAUCACUGUUGCUGUGUGUGUGUGCGGGGGAGAUACUUAUUUCUUCAUCCGUAUUUACUCUCCCCGUCUUACUUCCAUCCCCUUACAAUAGAAGAAAUCAAGUACGUAUUUUGGCUCAGAUUCUUUAUUUUUCAUUUCCACGCAAGAUAAUACUUAUAGAAGCCCAUCCAUUUCCUUCUUUGCAGCUCAUUCCACUUUUCUCCCCAGAGCGAGGGAGGGGUGAAUGAGUCCCACUGUCGAUGGGGAGAAGGGUUUAUUCUGACGUUUAGUCUCACGGACCGGACGAGCUUCAACGCCAUUCCAGAUAUCCAUGCCUCCGUUGCCGCUGCUCGCCAGACGCCCAAUUUUUCGUGUGUCAUUGUCGCUAAUAAAAUUGAUUUGGGUCACCUGGCGGAGGUGCGCGAAGAGGAGGCGCUCGAGCUGGCGGGCGAACUUGGGGCGUCGCUCUUCCUCACUUCAGCGUGCGACGGAGGGCCCGCUAUCCACGCCGCCUUCUCAGAGCUGUAUCGCGAUGUCGUGCGGCGUCGUUGGUCCAGAAGACGUCGAUCCUCGGCCAAGACUGUCAUCGAGGGCUUCUACAAGAUGUUCUCGAGGUGAUACCGCACGGACAGUUCAGCCUGCACAUUAGGUCAUUCACAUCAGUGACUCACGAAACUAUCAUGCAUGGUUGCACAUAAUAUAGGUCCCAGGAUAUAAUAUUCAUGUACAAGUUCUCGCACGAUUAUAUCUGUCACAACUAGCGACACACGUGACGAUGUGUCACCUCCGUCAAGGACAGAAAACGAGAUCUUAUCCUUGAAACUACGGCGUCGUAUUGCGCAGAACCACCUUAUCCCUGCAAGCCCUUGUGAAGCACGAACAUUCACGUCGCUGUAGGAAGACGGCAUUACCAACUAAGACUUCAUGAUGUCACCACUCCGGUCCGUCUACAGAGAAACAGUGAUUGGAAACAGGCUCCAAAUGUGUUGUCACUAAUUUUUUUUAAUAUACUUUGCAAACAAUUAUUGUUAUUUGAACUAGUGAGGUCAAAACACAUACUGUCUUUAAAAAAUAUAUAAUGAAAGUUCAUAAUUUUGUUUCUAAUAUUAAUUCCUUAUUCUGGGAAUAUCAUUUAUGUAAUUACCAUAUACCAUAAAGUUAGUUGACCAAUUAAAUAAUCUCAUAUCAUUUUGUAGUAAGUGAAUGGCUUCCUAGUACAUGUAAAUCAGUUAAAAAGUGUGUUAACAAACUGAAAGAAAAGUUUGCCCAUGAUUUAAAAUUUGUAUGCAUUUAUCAUUUCUUCCAAGUAAGUUGCAUAUCAAGUGAGUUAACUUCCUAAAUAAGUAGACAUUACUUUGCAGGGUUAGUGAUUAAUAAAAAAAAAAAAACAUUCGUAUAUAGAAUAUUUCCAAACAGUCAGUUAUAACAAAGCAGGUGUUAAUUUGCCAUGACAUGGACUUAAAAUAAACCAAAUAGAUUUAGUGCCUACUAUAUUACAUCUACAAUCAUUUUCUUAAUUUUACUUGCAUUUCUUCCUGCUGGACCUUCUUUAGCAAUCUUAAUUUAACAACUUUUUUAUUUAUCUAUUUAUUUAUCUAUUAUUAUUAUUAUUUUGCUUCUGAAAUCACAAUAACUGCUGUUAUUCCUUUUGAUUGUAUACAGGUAUAUACCUGUUCUAUUGCACUACUCCUUGAUUAGUUAACAUUCUACAUUAGUAAUGUUUCCCCAGACAACUAGCUAUAGUCUGGAGUACCUGAUGAUUGGAUGUUUUGACAGACAACAGAUUGUACCACAUAUUACAUAUCUGAUGUAUAACAUUGCAAAUGACUGUCUAUUAACAGGUUGUUUGUAGAACAGGCUGUUUCCUGUUCAUUUUAUUGCAGCAAAAUAUAUUUUCUGUUAAAUGGAAUAAAGCAAUACCACAGUGAUAGCCUUUUAACUUUCCUCCCUCAUAUAAAUUCAAAUCCACUCAGUCUAAGUGCUACUCUCCCUAGGUAUUUUUUACAAUUAAGCGGAUUUGAAUCCAUGUUGGGAGCAAAGUUGUACAUAAUUCCUAAUUACAUGUUCUUUUACAUGAAUAUUACAUCAAACUGUUUAAUAACUAAAUUAUGUCAGAUCUCAUUCUCUAUUUGGUAAAUGUAAUGUCAGACUGCAUUCAUUAAUUAGUUGAUCCUGCAUAUGUUGAGGAAUGGAGGGUAUCAAAACAUUUCAUAUUCCCAUGUUUAUUGAGAUGUUGAAUGUCUUACUAGAAUGUAGUCUUUCUUGGUGAAUGUCUUACUAGACUGUCCCUGAGUAAUGUAUGUCACAAUACACUACAAGGCUGGUUCCUGAGUAUCACAUCAAACUGUCCCUGAGAGAUAGAUGUCAGGAAUGUAAAACAAUGGUUGCUAAACCACAUGACAAAAACAUGAUUUAAGAAAAAACAUAUACCUAAGAAUAAGCUCCUGACCAUGUUCCUGCUAGUUGCUACCCUAGUUUUGUAUACCUAUGGAAUCUGUUGAGCAUGUUUGAUGUUUAUUGUGGCACCACUGCUUCUAGUCUGUAGAUGAAAUGCUAAGCUGAAAAAAAUGCAGCAUGAUAUAUAACAUUUUGUGGAAUUAGUUUUCCUACUGCAAAUAGUUGAACUUAUCUUUCAGUGAUGAUAUAGAUAAAGGUAAUUUCUAAAUAUACAGUAAUGAAUGCUUCCACAUACAUAAAAUCACAUUCAGUAUUUCAAAUCUAUUUAUAGACUGUGUGUUUUGAAUGUGUAUAUAUGAAUGCCUGUGUGUAUGCAUGCCCAUGUAUGUAAGAUGUGCAUGCCUUUCUGUGAAUGUGUUUGUAUAUGCAGGUUCAUGCAACUCUGUGAAGAAUAUAAUAUUGACAGAAUAGUACUGUAAUAAAGUAAUAAAAGCUUC